AGGAAUAAAAUUGCAUUAAGAUGCCUUGAAAGUCAUUUGCCCCCUUCCCUCUAUCUCAAAUUGUAGCAAAUCCCAAAUGUGAAAUGUGACUUAGGAAGAAAUGUUUUCCCACUGUUCGCCUGUAUUUAGGAAAUAUAGACCAAAGUAAAAUGAACAUGGGCUGGCACGGGAAAGCGGGCACGAAGGGCACACGGGCAUCGCCAGAGCGUGCCGUGGGCUUGCACACUUCUAUUGCCACCAGGGAUCAAGAGCUAUCGAUCAUGUUGGGUUGGCUAUGGAUGUGCUGAGAAUUUGAGGGCAAAAUCUGGGGGGGAGAAAAAGCACCAUCUCUGCAUAAGCAAGCGGAGUAUUGAACAUCUGUGUGGAGCUGGAAGAGACGAAGCCCAGCUGGACAGGCUGCGGUUGUCUGGGUUUGGUCCCAGCUCAGCAAACUAUGUGGGCAGGAGGAACCAGAGGUCUGGCCCCCAUUUAGCCAAUUAGUUAAGCACGUGACUCAUCCAAACGAAGAUCAGUUGGUUUAUCUCUGCAGAGGGAUGGGCCCACAGAAAGACUGAAGGGUCUUUGCUGGAGCCUCCUGCCUGUUUCCUGGGCACAGGCCAGUCCAUUUGGCCCCUUGCAGUACUUGCAUGCCCCAAUUUCUGCAGCAUUUGCGAGAGUCACCUGUAUGCAGCACUUGCUGGAGGAAGACCUAGGAGAGCCCUGAGAGCCUGGGGGAGAAGAGAGGGUCCUCUGAGGCCAGGCUGGAGGACAAGAGGACAAAUGCCAGCAGGUCCCUGGGAGCCAUGAUGUACCAGAAGAAUGCUGUUUUGAAAACUGCAGAGAAAAGGCACCAAGUCUCUGCAGACCUGUGGGGUGGCACGUGCUGGAGGGGCUCACAGGGUCUGGAGAUGUCACAUCAUGAGAAUGCUGCUGAAAUGCAUGUCCCGGCUACUGCAUCCCCUGGUGACACAGGCGUGGAGCAUGGCAGUAGCUGCUGG